rnacentral:rRNA from 1 species
UGGGGAAUCUUGCGCAAUGGGCGGAAGCCUGACGCAGCAACGCCGCGUGUGGGAAGACGGCUUUCGGGUUGUAAACCACUUUCAGGGGGGACGAAGCUUCCGAGGUUAAUAGCCUACGGGGUGACGGUACCCCCAGAAGAAGCCCCGGCUAACUACGUGCCAGCAGCCGCGGUAAUACGUAGGGGGCGAGCGUUGUCCGGAAUCAUUGGGCGUAAAGCGCGUGUAGGCGGCUUGAUAAGUCUGGUGUGAAAUCUUGGGGGCUCAACCCCAAGCCUGCACUGGAUACUGCCAAGCUUGAGUCCGGGAGGGGAGAGCGGAAUUCCUAGUGUAGCGGUGAAAUGCGCAGAUAUUAGGGAGAACACCGGUGGCGAAGGCGGCUCUCUGGAACGGUACUGACGCUGAGACGCGAAAGCGUGGGGAGCGAACAGGAUUAGAUACCCUGGUAGUCCACGCCGUAAACGAUGGGCACUAGAUGUGGGCGGUGUCGACUCCGUCCGUGUCGAAGCUAACGCAUUAAGUGCCCCGCCUGGGGAGUACGGCCGCAAGGCUA